GGGGCUGACAUGAAUUUCGACGGGAGUUAGAUGGCUCUAGUUGCAUACCGACUUGUGCUAAGUCGUAAAACUGGCUCUUAAAUAUAAACGCAAACAAUUCAAAUUACGCUCCUGCUUACGCUAAAGUCGCGUAAGUUUAUUAACUCUUUUGGAGCUGUUUUUAGUUAAGAUUCUAGCUAUUUUCUAAAAGCAUUAUUUCUGCUAGAUGCGGUUUUAUCUACCUAGAGUAAAACUUAAGCUAAAUAGGUUGCCUUGUUUAUAGAUUUUUGGGAGUUUUUAUAGACAAGAAAGUUUCUAAACCCAAGGAAGUAUGUAUAUCAGCUGUGUUGGUCUAGUUUUCGGACUGGGGUUUGAUUCCCCACAGCUCCACCA
rnacentral:tmRNA from 1 species